GACGAACGCUGGCGGCGUGCUUAACACAUGCAAGUCGAACGAAGAGCGAUGGAAGCUUGCUUCUAUCAAUCUUAGUGGCGAACGGGUGAGUAACGCGUAAUCAACCUGCCCUUCAGAGGGGGACAACAGUUGGAAACGACUGCUAAUACCGCAUACGAUCUAAUCUCGGCAUCGAGGAUAGAUGAAAGGUGGCCUCUACAUGUAAGCUAUCACUGAAGGAGGGGAUUGCGUCUGCUUAGCUAGUUGGAGGGGUAACGGCCCACCAAGGCGAUGAUCAGUAGCCGGUCGGAGAGGAUGAACGGCCACAUUGGGACUGAGACACGGCCCAGACUCCUACGGGAGGCAGCAGUGGGGAAUCUUCCGCAAUGGACGAAAGUCUGACGGAGCAACGCCGCGUGAGUGAUGACGGCCUUCGGGUUGUAAAGCUCUGUUAAUCGGGACGAAAGGCCUUCUUGCGAAUAGUGAGAAGGAUUGACGGUACCGGAAUAGAAAGCCACGGCUAACUACGUG
rnacentral:rRNA from 1 species